rnacentral:rRNA from 1 species
GACGAACGCUGGCGGCGUGCCUAAUACAUGCAAGUCGAAUGCUGAAGAGAGGAGCUUGCUCUUCUUGGAUGAGUUGCGAACGGGUGAGUAACGCGUAGGUAACCUGCCUUGUAGCGGGGGAUAACUAUUGGAAACGAUAGCUAAUACCGCAUAACAAUGGAUGACACAUGUCAUUUAUUUGAAAGGGGCAAUUGCUCCACUACAAGAUGGACCUGCGUUGUAUUAGCUAGUAGGUGAGGUAAUGGCCCACCUAGGCGACGAUACAUAGCCGACCUGAGAGGGUGAUCGGCCACACUGGGACUGAGACACGGCCCAGACUCCUACGGGAGGCAGCAGUAGGGAAUCUUCGGCAAUGGGGGCAACCCUGACCGAGCAACGCCGCGUGAGUGAAGAAGGUUUUCGGAUCGUAAAGCUCUGUUGUAAGUCAAGAACGGGUGUGAGAGUGGAAAGUUCACACUGUGACGGUAGCUUACCAGAAAGGGACGGCUAACUACGUG